AUCCGCUUGGUCUUGAAAUGUUUUCUACAAACAUCACACUUGAACUCUCUCAGAUCAGAGUGUGUGACAACGUGGCUGUUCAAAGCGGACUUAGAAAAGAACCUUCUGUCACACUCAAGACAUUCAUGAGGUCUUUCACCAGUGUGUGUAAGGGUGUGUCUGUUAAGGCUACUCUUCCUAUUGAACACUUUGCCACACUCUUGGCAUUCAUGAGGUCUUUCACCAGUGUGUGUAAGGGUGUGUCUGUCAAGGUUACUCUUCGUACUGAAUACUUUGCCACACUCACGGCAUUCAAGAGGUCCUCCACCAGAGUAUGUGGGUGUGUUUGUUGAGGUUGCU